AUUGAACGCUGGCGGCAGGCCUAACACAUGCAAGUCGAGCGGAUGAAGGGAGCUUGCUCCUGGAUUCAGCGGCGGACGGGUGAGUAAUGCCUAGGAAUCUGCCUGGUAGUGGGGUAUAACGUCCGGAAACGGGCGCUAAUACCGCAUACGUCCUGAGGGAGAAAGUGGGGGAUCUUCGGACCUCACGCUAUCAGAUGAGCCUAGGUCGGAUUAGCUAGUUGGUGGGGUAAAGGCCUACCAAGGCGACGAUCCGUAACUGGUCUGAGAGGAUGAUCAGUCACACUGGAACUGAGACACGGUCCAGACUCCUACGGGAGGCAGCAGUGGGGAAUAUUGGACAAUGGGCGAAAACCUGAUCCAGCCAUGCCGCGUGUGUGAAGAAGGUCUUCGGAUUGUAAAGCACUUUAAGUUGGGAGGAAGGGCAGUAAGUUAAUACCUUGCUGUUUUGACGUUACCAACAGAAUAAGCACCGGCUAACUUCGUG
rnacentral:rRNA from 1 species